rnacentral:rRNA from 1 species
GACGAACGCUGGCGGCGUGCUUAACACAUGCAAGUCGAACGGUAAGGCCCUUCGGGGUACACGAGUGGCGAACGGGUGAGUAACACGUGGGUGAUCUGCCCUGCACUUCGAGAUGAGCCUGGGAAACUGGGUCUAAUACCGGAUAGGACCACUGCCUGCAUGGGUGGUGGUGGAAAGCUUUUGCGGUGUGGGAUGGGCCCGCGGCCUAUCGGCUUGUUGGUGGGGUGAUGGCCUACCAAGGCGACGACGGGUAGCCGGCCUGGGAGGGUGACCGGCCACACUGGGACUGGGAUACGGCCCAGACUCCUACGGGAGGCAGCAGUGGGGAAUAUUGCUCAAUGGGCGCAAGCCUGAUGCAGCGACGCCGCGUGAGGGAUGACGGCCUUCGGGUUGUAAACCUCUUUCAGCACCGACGAAGCGCAAGUGACGGUAGGUGCAGAAGAAGGACCGGCCAACUACGUGCCAGCCGCCGCAGUAA